GGUUAAGUGACUAAGCGUACAGGGCGGAUGCCUUGGCAAUCAGAGGCGAUGAAGGACGUGCUAAUCUGCGAAAAGCUUGGAUGAGUCGAUAAGAGGCGUUUAAUCCAAGAUAUCCGAAUGGGGAAACCCAGUAGAUGAAGAAUCUACUAUCAAUAAAUGAAUACAUAGUUUAUUGAGGCGAACCGGGAGAACUGAAACAUCUAAGUACCCCGAGGAAAAGAAAUCAACCGAGAUUCUGUGAGUAGCGGCGAGCGAAAGCGGAAGAGCCAGUAAGUUUUAGCUAGCAUAUUAGAGGAAUUGGCUGGGAAGCCAAAUCAAAGAGGGUGAUAAUCCCGUACUCGAAAGUAUGUUAGUGGAACUAAGCUUACGAUAAGUAAGGCGGGACACGAGAAAUCCUGUUUGAAGAUGGGGGGACCAUCCUCCAAGGCUAAAUACUCCUGAUUGACCGAUAGUGAACCAGUACUGUGAAGGAAAGGCGAAAAGAACCCCGGUGAGGGGAGUGAAAUAGAACCUGAAACCCUGUACGUACAAGCAGUAGGAGCGAGGGCAACCUUGUGACUGCGUACCUUUUGUAUAAUGGGUCAGCGACUUAUAUUUUGUAGCGAGGUUAACUGAAUAAGGGAGCCGAAGGGAAACCGAGUCUUAACUGGGCGUUGAGUUGCAAGGUAUAGACCCGAAACCCGGUGAUCUAGCCAUGGGCAGGUUGAAGGUUGGGUAACACUAACUGGAGGACCGAACCGACUAAUGUUGAAAAAUUAGCGGAUGACUUGUGGCUGGGGGUGAAAGGCCAAUCAAACCGGGAGAUAGCUGGUUCUCCCCGAAAUCUAUUUAGGUAGAGCCUUGAGCGGACACCUUCGGGGGUAGAGCACUGUUUCGGCUAGGGGUCCAUCCCGGAUUACCAACCCGAUGCAAACUGCGAAUACCGAAGAGUGAUACUCAGGAGACACACGGCGGGUGCUAACGUUCGUCGUGGAGAGGGAAACAACCCAGACCGCCAGCUAAGGUCCCGAAGUCUAUAUUAAGUGGGAAACGAAGUGGGAAGGCUUAGACAGCUAGGAUGUUGGCUUAGAAGCAGCCAUCAUUUAAAGAAAGCGUAAUAGCUCACUAGUCGAGUCGGCCUGCGCGGAAGAUGUAACGGGGCUCAAAUAUAGCACCGAAGCUGCGGCAUCAGAAUUUAUUCUGUUGGGUAGGGGAGCGUUGUGUAAGCGGAUGAAGGUGGCUCGAGAGGGUUGCUGGACGUAUCACAAGUGCGAAUGCUGACAUAAGUAACGAUAAAACGAGUGAAAAACUCGUUCGCCGGAAGACCAAGGGUUCCUGUCCAACGUUAAUCGGGGCAGGGUGAGUCGGCCCCUAAGGCGAGGCUGAAAAGCGUAGUCGAUGGGAAACGGGUUAAUAUUCCCGUACUUGGAUAAACUGCGAUGUGGGGACGGAGAAGGUUAGGUUAGCAGACUGUUGGAUGUCUGUUUAAGGUGGUAGGUGGAAGACUUAGGCAAAUCCGAGUCUUUAUAAACACUGAGAG
rnacentral:rRNA from 1 species